UACUGUAUAGUUUGUACUCUCUUGCGGGCUGAAUUACCUCUCUCGGUUUUGUUUUUAUCCACUCGCCUUGGUCUCUGGCCGAUUGUUAUCUUUAAAAACCAACCUAGUAGUUAAGAACAAGAAAAUUACAAGAGUCUCUACAUCUAAGGAGGAACAGAAACAAUGCUACUUUGUCCAUAACUUUCAGUUCCUGUCCUCCUGACGGUUUAUUAAGUAAAUCGGAAGUUCUGUAGUUUUAACGAAACUAGACUAUGCUCAAUGCCUAAGUGAAAGCAGAUUUUGACGCCUUUCUUAUAUCUUAGAUGGGAAAAACCAGGGCAUAGUCCGCUCUUUGGUUAUGACUUCUGGUACCAGCCUCGACAUAACACCAUGAUCAGUUCCUCUUGGGGAGCUCCAUCCGCUUUCACGAAAGGUUUCAACCUCCAGCAUGUUACUGAUGGGCUUUAUGGUCGGCAUUUGCAUGUCUACACAUGGCCUGGUGGUGAACUAAAAAAAACAUUGGAUCUUGGAAACACUACCAUGAUCAGUUCGUCCUGGGGGGCUCCAUCCGCUUUCACAAAAGGUUUCAAUCUCCAGCAUGUUACUGAUGGACUUUAUGGACGGCAUUUGCAUGUUUACACAUGGCCUGGUGGUGAACUAAAACAGACAUUGGAUCUUGG
rnacentral:lncRNA from 1 species